UACGGAGGGUGCAAGCGUUAUCCGGAUUCACUGGGUUUAAAGGGCGCGUAGGAGGGCAGGUAAGUCAGUGGUGAAAUCUCCAAGCUUAACUUGGAAACUGCCGUUGAUACUAUCUGUCUUGAAUAUUGUGGAGGUGAGCGGAAUAUGACAUGUAGCGGUGAAAUGCUUAGAUAUGUCAUAGAACACCGAUUGCGAAGGCAGCUCACUAAACUGUCACUGACGCUGAGGCACGAAAGCGUGGGGAGCAAACAGG
rnacentral:rRNA from 1 species